GUGUCCUUCAGCACGGCCUUCAGUGGCGUCACCGCCUCCGGCAUCAUGGCCACCAACAUCUCCGCGACGCCGCCCCAUCCACCCAACGCCGCCAUCUCCUCCAUCGCGGCGGCGACCGCCCUGGAGAGCCCCUCCGGAACCCAGUGCAGCGCGGGGGCCUCCGAGGAGGCCGCGCGGGCGGCGGCGCAGAAGAGGAGCAGGUCCACGGCCUCCUUGCCGGCCCCGUCCGCUGGGGCUGAGAGGGGGACGGGAGGAUUGAGGCGAGGAGGGAUUUGACGGAGGUGCCGGAGCCCUCGGGGCGCGCGUAGGGCGCCGCGGCGAGAAGGGAGCGGAGCGGCGCGGCGACGCGGAGGAGGUCCUCGCGGCGGAGGCCACCGACGCGGCGGGCGACGGCAACGGCGCCAUGGCAUAUCCACAAAGAGGUCCGUGUGAGAACCGAGUUGUGAAGGAGGAGCGACAACCUCCGGUCCCACUCGUCAGACAUAUCCACAACCUCCAGCUCCGCCUCGGCCGCGGCAGCGACCGGCGCGCCGCUAUCGCCGCCAUCACCCUCCGCUCCGUCCUCCCUCUCCCUCGCAUGGUCUGGCCGCCUCUACGCACGCAAUCGAGCACGGCGAUUUGCCGUGCCCGGAGACCGCAAAAGCAGAGGAUGAGGACAAUCCUCUUGAGGCGAGCUUGGAAUGGAGUCCCCUCCCACGCCGCCGAUUGACCUCACUGCUAUAGGCACUGGAGAUCGAGAUGUCCGUCUUCCCCACCAACUCCGGCUCAAACUGCGGCCCCCGCCGUCCUGCCUGCUCGGCUCUAUCACAGUGUUCAGCCACGCCGCCAACGCGUGCACCCCGUCACCGAGCAAGCAAGGAUCACCGCCUGCAUGCCUCGGGCCAUACCAGAGCCUGCGCCUAUGCCGGUGAGUUUAUGGGAUACCGUAGGCGAAGAUGACCGUGCUGUUUUGGCAGUUGCAUUGCCUGCACGGCUUAACCGUGCCAUGCCGCCAUGGCUACCAUUAUGCCGGCCAUUUACAGUAUCCUAUAAGGAUGUAGAUUGUGCAGCAUCCUGCUAGGUGUUAUGCAAGGCUAAGCUCUUUCAAAAAAAUGAAGGACGCCGAUAAGUCCCGAACGAGUUCGUGAUCUGACCAUGGCAAAUCGAACAUCUUUUAUGGCAAUUUAUAUUUCUUCACUAUGACAAGUUUAGUUGGUAACAUGGCAAUUCCGCCCUUAGUUUGUUUUUUGCUAGGAAAUUGCCGUGCUUGCCAACUAAACUUGUCAUCCUCGCGUCAACUACAAUUGCCAUAAAAAACGUUCGAUUUGCCAUGGUCAGAUCCCGAACUUUUGGGAUUUAUCAUUUCUGAAAAAGAAAAGAAUAAGGCUAAGAUAAGCUUCCAAGUUGGAUCUUAAAAGCUAGAAAUUCCAUGCUAAGUAGAGAAAAACUGAAAUAUCUAUGACGCCUAUUUCAAUAUGGCUCGAGAUUAUAACGAUGCAGUGAGGGUACAUCAAGAUAUAUAGUUACAAAUUUAUAUAGAACACAGCUGUUUCUUCAAUCCCAAACAUUACAAUUGUAUAGUAAAUACUACUUCAGUCUUCAAAAUAGACAUAUAUUAUAAUGUCUAGACAUGCAAUGCAGCUCGUUUUCCUGAAACAAAAAAGGAGCAUGUUGAAUGCGAGCUUCCAGCCAUAGCUUGGAGCAGUCUUGGUAUCGGGGGCAUUGUGAUCUCAACUAGCCCUUGCAGAAUCUGAACCACCUGUCCCAUUGUUGGCCGAUCAAGCUCAUUGUCUUGGAGGCACCAACACGCAACCUUGCAAGCAAUUUCAAGCUCAUCUAGAUUGGCAAUACCAUGUAGCUUGUGAUCUACCAAACUCCCGACAUCUCCUUCAAGAAGCUUAUGUGCGGCAUGCACAGGAAAGUAAACAUCAGUGUUGCCACCGCUAGGAACUGUCGGACAUGAGUUCCUCCUUCCAGAUAUUAUUUCCAGCAACACCAUCCCGUAGCUAAAAACAUCGACUUUUGGUGUAAUAGGAACACCGGUAAGCCAUUCAGGCGCAAGGUACCCUGUUGUUCCUCUCAUUGUUGUUAAUACUCGGCUAUAAUCCCUUCCUAAAAGCUUUGCCAUCCCAAAGUCUGCAAUUUUUGGAAGGAGUGAAGCAUCAAGAAGUAUGUUUUCUGGCUUGAUAUCACAGUGUAUGACGCGGUCUCGACAACUGUCAUGCAAGUAGGCCAACCCUCUUGCAACACCUAGGCCGAUUUCAUACCUAGCAGUCCAGUUCAACAUUGAGUUGCUUCCAAAUAAAUGGACAUCAAGAGAGCGAUUUGACAUGUAUUCAUAAACAAGCAACCUCUUAGAACCCUCACAACAGAAACCAACAAGCUUAACUAAAUUGAUGUGCUGGACAGCUCCAAUUGAGCUCACUUCAGCUCUGAAUUGCUUCUCUCCUUGAUAAGCACCAUCAAGCCUCUUCACUGCUAUGGCAUUGGAGCCCUUUAUAAACCCCUUGAAUACAGAACCAAAACUGCCUCCCCCCAACUUAUCUGCAAAAGAAUUUGUUGCUCGUUGAAGAUCAUUGUAUCUAAAUGCAGUGAUUCCAUCACAAACUUCAGACUCAUUCCGUAUUUGACCAGAUCUCUUGUUUUUGUUUCUCCAAAUCAUUAGUAGGAGGACAAGUGCAAAUAAGCCUAGAGUCGAAAUACCUGUACCAAUUACAAUUCCAGCAACUAUCCCUCUUCUGUUGUUUUUCAGACUUUGUACAUCUUUAGCAGAAAGACGAAGAUAAAGAAUUUCUCCAUUUGAAUUGGUGGUGUCACUACAUUGUAGUUGUCUUAUGUUGAGCAAUUCAUUAUGCCACAUAGAGCAUCUGUUGUCGCUGAAGGAGUAUGCACUGCAAGAGCAAUUACUCAGGCAAAUCUGUGCGCAGUCACUCGCGCUUGCAGCAGCUUCUACUUUUGGGGCAUUCUGGGGCAACUUAACACAUGGUACAGAAUAGAACUUGUCUGUGGUAUGUGUUGUGCUUUUGUUGCUAAUGCAGUCUAACUGAGUAUUUCUCGAGCACCCACCCGCUCGAUUUUCUAGCUCCCAGUCCUUUGGGGAUGUUAUGGUGAAGCCCUCCAUACAGUUGCAGUGUGGAACUUUAUUAUCAGUGCAAAUUGUGAAAGGUCCACAAAUUGCAUGGACAUCACACUGAGCUCUUGGUUGGGCAUUGAUCAUUACCCAAUCCUCUGAGCCCUUCAUCCAAAUGAAUGUCUUCGCUUGACCUGAGACGUCAAUGACAUGACGAGUGACCAUAUUUGGAUCCAUAUAUUCAGCUACUAAAUUAUACGUCAAGUACUUCUCUUUGUCAUUGUCGACAAAUUUUGGACUAAUAGAGUGGCGGGCUGACAUCUCUGGAAGUGCAGCGAAAUAUUUGCCGUUCCAUACACCGGUGGACCAAUAUGGUAUGGAUGAGUUCAGUGCCAGAAGCAAUAACUGGUCAACACCACUGGGGUCUAAUUGUUCACAGUACGCACCGGUAGCCGGGUUGACCAAGUUUUUCCAAGAUACAAAACGGCGCUUCAGGCCGGUGACCUUGUCCCAUCCGAGCUUCGCCCCAGGAAAAAAUGUAUCUGUGGGGUGGUCAAAGCUCUGCCACAAAACCUUUGUUGAGUUUGAAGAGUCUGUCAGUACAAGAUUUCCACUACUCAACAGCAUAGCAGCAGUGGUGCUAUUUCUUUUGAUGUUUGCUUGUGUAGUCCAGAUCGCGGACUUGGUGGACCGGUUUACGACGACAAGGUUGCCAUCGUGGGAGAUCGUGAGCUCCAGUGAGGUGGUGUUCCUGAUUGGCUUAUCCCUAUUUGCAACCCAUGCUGAAGUGAAUUUCGGUACCGUGUUGAACCAUAUGCCAAGGUACCAGUUGGCGGUGUGUCCAAUCUGGAAGAAGCCAAGCGCGUACCUGCCAUUGCUGGAGAUGAGCUUGUUGUCGACGCCAAGUGCUUGGCCGGGCAAGAUGGUGUCUGUCACGGCAGAACUCGCUGAGGUGUGUAGGCACAAGAGCAUGGUGAAAACAACGAGGACGGGAGUCAUGGUGAACUGAAGGUGGUGAGGGCGUGCAGAGGGCCUUGUUGUUGCUGUGCAGAGGCUUGAAAUGUAGAGACUGUGGAGUCAAGCCCAGCAUCCAAACUAGUAUAGGCAGAUUCAAAGGUUUUUUUCCAGUGGUGAUGAUGAAUCGCCUCUUGCAUAGCAUGCACGGCAGGAUUUGUGUGGUGGUAAUGGAAAGGGUGGAGGAAGAAGAACGCUGGGGACAUCAGCACCAGACACUUGGUUCGCCGUCGAAAUCUCGUCGUCGCUCUCCUCCGGCUACCCGGCGAACCCAGUCAGAAGAGGUCUUUGCACCUGAAUAACAAUUCGUUGGUUACUAUAAAUUGAGAUAUCGAUGUGUGUGUGUGGUUUAAUGAUGAGACCGACACUGUUCUUUUCGCACCCAACUGAAGUGCGUAGCAAAAAGAAAACAAAAAUAAACUACAAAAAAGGUGAAGCGCAAUUACAACGAGGACAAGUUGCAAUUCCACGAAAAGAAAAAUGUAUUUGCAACAAUUGCAAAACUAGUGAAGUACUACCUCUGUAUCAAAAUAUAUUUUUUGUACAGAGGUAGGUAACAAUAAAAUGGUGACUGAAAGUUCAGGAAAGUGACUGAAACUUAACAAAAGUAACUGACUGAAACUUAACAAAAAGAAAUACUGAAACAUAAUUGGACAUGUAAAAAAGAAUGAAACUUCAAAUGCUUAAAAAUAAGGAGAGUCUAAUUAAUACAAUUCUGCUGCUUUCAUCAGCAAAUAAAAGAAGAGAUUGCGCUGCUUUAAAUUCAUCCGUCAACCAUCAUCUACCGGAUAGUUAACUAGCACUGAUUUUCACCAAUAUUCAGUUGGUGAAGGCACUUGUGUUGCACUUAUGCACCCUCUCCCUCACCCCUCGUUCAUAAAUAAUCGGCACUCACUUCUACUGCUACAUAGUUCAUAAGAAGAAGAAAAGUGGUCUAUGUUGCUAGUUGUGCAAGGUUUAACAUGUCGAGAACGCAAGAAUAGAUGGGAAUAGGAGGUAGCAGGAAACUUAAUUGGUGCCCAACAAGAAGAUUGUUAGAUCCUAUCAGAGAACGUUGUCUCAACAAUAAUCAACACAGGAGAUAGAUGCAGGAUGUGUGUAGUGUGACCUGCAGAUCUGCAGCAAACACCCACAUCUGGUGGAGGUGCUAUUGACUCAGGAGCAUCCUCACUGGCGUGUCGCCUACUCUGGUGCUGCUGUAAGGAUGUUUGAGUAUGCCCCAUUUUUCUGGCAACUAUGCGAUGUUCUGGUUAAAAGCUCACGACACAGGGAAUACAAAGUUGAUAAUUGUAUUUCUAUCGUCUAUGAAAUUUGUUCUGGAUUGGAUGCAAUUGUGUUAUUUUGAAUUUGGUUCGGCGGGUAGAAACAUUUUUCAUGAGAUAACAGUUCAAAGAUUCAGAUUUUCCCGGAUAUUUUUGGGAUGAGUGUCUUAACUUUCUAUAUGAUCAGUUGUGUCUGUCACUAAUUAAACAAGAUCAUAGUCUUGGGUGCAGAAUGGUGUGGAGCUCUUUGAUCUACAGCAAAAGUCAUCUCAAAGGUGUUAAAUAGACACACUGCAAAAUUCAGCAUAUUGAUGUUAUGCAGUCCAGAUUUAUUAAGGGGCGUUCGAUUGUGGAAAAAUUUAUCCUUGCCUUGGUGAUAGUACAGUCAGCUGUCAAGAGGAAAUUGCCAAUGAUUGUUUUGAAGUUGGAUUUUCAAAAAGCCUUUAAUAAAUUUCUUUGGGACUACCUGCUUGAAAUCUUCGGUCACCGAAAUUUUCACGAUGGCCAGAUUAAAUGGAUCCAAACCAUGCUCCGAUCUGGCCAGGCUCAGGUUCUUAUCAAUGGCACCCCUGGCUCUGGGGAAGCCAUUUCUUUUGAGUUGGGAGUUCGGCAGGGUGAUUCUCUUUUCCCGUGUCUUUUCAUUUGGUUGCCAACGUCUUGCAGUGUAUGUGUGCCAGAGAGUUCAACAUUGGUCAGCUAAUUCACCCGUUGGGAAGACAGGGCCCCUUCCCGGUGCUGAAAUAUGAUCUCUCUCUCCCCCUCGGCAACCCUCGCUCUGUUUCUCUCCGCCUUUACUUCACCCACACUUCAGAAUGAUGUGUUCCUGUACUGUACUGUACUGCACACCUGAUCUUUUUCCGUACGGUUUCUUUACCUGGUCUUUAAUGUGGCCAGAUGAGAGUUCAGCCGUUUCUUGAUUGAUUAUAGCUGCCAUAGCUGUGGUCUUCUGUUCUUUUUUUUACUGCGACAGUUGUGAUGUUCUCUUCUUUUUUACCCAAGAUUUCAUUGUCUCCCCCUUCUGCUCUUGCGAUGCAGAGGCCGUGCGUCUUGCAAUUCCUUAUACCAAAUACCUCGGGUAGUUUGGAUAAAAAAUGGCGGCUAUAGUGGUAUUACAGUUAGCCCAAAUUUGUAGUUGAUUACAUUAAUUUUGCAAUCGGUUGCUGGGAAAAGCUGCAAGUGUUUACCUGUUGCGUUGUCAGUUUUAUCAUACCCACCAAUGAAGCUCUGAUUGUGAUGGCCUAAUUUUUUUAAGCCCUGGACCGUAGAAAAUUGUUCUACAGCAAUUUUCAUUAAUAAUAAUAGUAAGUUACAAUGGUAGGAGGAAAGAAGAAAAAGGAGAAAACAAAACUAUCUAAAAGGAAGAGGAAACCACCAUUUCAGCUCUAGGAAACGGAAGAAAAAAGUAAGAAGUUUGAAUCUAUCCAUUCCCAGAAACAAGCAACAUGCUUGUCCCUGAUUCUAUGUCUGAGCAGCGUGAGAUCCUCCUUGAGACAGCCGAGCGAGACAUCAAACAGAAAUGAAACCUGUCUUCUUCCUCUGCCCUGCUCUCGUUCUACUCUGAAUCCUCUGCUUUCUGGUGGCUGCUCUCCACAAGCAGCAAGUGUCCCUCGGUGCCAGCUCUCCACAAGUUGUAUUUAUUUCCUCCACCUUCUCUCCGACGACAUCGUGGCCUCGGGACGUGAGCACCAGACACUUGUUCACGGGUCAAGAUCUCAUCAUCGCUCCACUUCGGUUAUCCAGAGGACCCGGUCAGAAGGUCUUUGCACCUGAUUGGCAUUUCGUUGGUUACUAUAAACAGAUACUGAUGUCUGUGUAUGUGUGGCUUAAUGAUGAGAGCGGCGAUAUUCUUUUUGCACCAAAGCAAAAUGCAACUGCAGCAAAAAGAAAACAAAAAAAUCUUUAAAAAAAGGUAAGUGCAAUUACUACGAAGACAAGUUGCAAUUCCACUAAAAUAAAGGUGUAGUUUCAACAAAUGCAAAACUAGUGAAGUAUCAAUAAUAGGGUGAAUGAAAGUUCAGAAAAGUGACCGAAACUUAACAAAAGCAACUGAAAUCACAAAAGUGACUGAAACUUGACAAAAAAUUA